UUGCUGGCUCGAUCUCCAUGCUCUCCAAGUGCUCCAUGUUGUUUGGCGGGCAAAUAUAACCAGAUGGAACUAAGAAAACAAAUUUGAGGCCUGAGCCAGCCAUCGUAACAAUACAAUGCACAAGUUUUUCUUGUACUGGUAUUGACUUGUCAUCAGCAAUAGCCUCAGUAUCAUCGCCGGGAUACCUCUUGGAUUUGAGAAACUACCGUCACGUGCUACCGAUGUUGAUCGAUUUAGUGGGACGGAUCUCUUCUUACCUUUGUCCUCGUGUACAUCCACGUGAGUGUGGCUGGUGGAUUCAACUUUUCUACGGAUGAAGCAACUGCUGCGGAUGCCUGGCCGUAUUUCCCAGGCUGAAAGGACGUAUUAUAAAAGCACCAUAUCGGCUGCUGAUGUUGCGAUUUAACGAUUUAAUCUUUGCAAAGUUACGCAACGCAGCAAUUAUGAAAUGAAUGGGAAAUCCACGUUUGUAUUGACACACCAUCACGAUAAUGGGAAAUUUUAAGGGCCGAAAAUAAAGCCAAAAAAGUGAAAAACCACUUUACAUGGCCCGCUAAUAGGAGUGAAUUACCCAGUUAUCGUUCACAGCCGACAGGAGAAGACAUCAGCGGGAAGCUUUCGUUUUAGUCUUUUUAUUGAUGACGGUGUCGAUUCACUGGUGGCCACACUGGAAAUGGGAAAUUCGCCAUUGGAGGAUUUGGCAUCGGC